rnacentral:rRNA from 1 species
CCUUCCCGUAGGGUGAACCUGCGG